UUGAGUGUUCUUGCAGCUGAAUUUUGUACUUAGAAGAACUAAUAGAUAUGUGGGAUUUCGAUUUUAAAAGUUUCUAAUUCUUUUGUAGAUAGUCUUCAAAUCAUCAAGAUCACCACUUGUUUAUUUUGUAAGCUAUUAUUUUCUUAGUCUUUGUUUGUUUACUUUCUUUCUCGUGUGUGUUGAUGUGAGUAGGCUGUCAUUGUUAUUUGAGUGUUUGAUCCUUUGAACUCUUUAUCACAAAUUGUAUACUCGGUGGUGGAGAUAUGGUUGUAUUGUUGUGAUAUGGACAAGGCAUGUGUUUGAGAGAGCUAGUGUCCUUAAAGGUAUCUCUAACCUCGUGUCUAAAUAUUGUUUGAGAGAGCUGAUGUUAUUUGGUUAUAAAUGCAGGCAAAUAUUGUAAGAACUGAUCGCAUUGAAUCUCUGAUUUUGGUUUCUCAUUGUGAAACAGGGUGAUACAUUCAACAAUUCUCAUUGCAUCACAGACUCAAGGCUCAAUACAUUCAACAAUCUUGGAGAGAUGUGAGAAUAUGAUCGAAUAUGUAAAAAGGCUUAGGCUUUGCAUUAGAUGGUUUCAAGAACUCGAGUUAGAUUACGUCUUUGAGCAAGAGAUGGAGGUUCAUGACAAAGUGAAUCAAACGAGAAAAAAUCUUGUUCGUCUUAGAGUUUUUAGGCUAUUAACUCGAUCUGCAACUUUUUAACUCAACCACAUAUAAACUUAAUUCUAUGUCAGAAGACGAGUUUAUGUUUCAAUAAUGUAUUUUUAUGGUUUUAAUUUUAUUGUAUAAAUCUCUGUCACA